UACGUAGGCAGCAAGCGUUGUUCGGAAUUACUGGGCGUAAAGAGUGUGUAGGCGGUGUUCUAAGUCUGUUGUGAAAUCUCCCGGCUUAACUGGGAGGGUGCGGCGGAAACUGGAAUGCUAGAGGAUGGGAGAGGUAAGCGGAAUUCCUGGUGUAGCGGUGAAAUGCGUAGAUAUCAGGAGGAACACCUGUGGUGUAGACAGCUUACUGGACCAUUUCUGACGCUGAGGCGCGAAAGCGUGGGGAGCAAACAGG
rnacentral:rRNA from 1 species